UAAUUACGGAUGGUCCUACUUCCAUAUGGAUAGUCCUACGGAUAAAUCCUCCGGACCCUGGACCUUUCUUUGGCCCUGCGGACUCCGGACUCCGGACUGGAAGAUUUCCGCUUUCUUUUUCAAUAGGAGAGGAUCGGGCCCGCUAACCCUAUCAUCGGGGAAGGAGGAAUCGGGUAGCUGAUCGAUCGGAAGAAGUCUUUCUCUUGCAGCUUGACCAAAGGAUCUCUUAUCCAGUAUCCAGAGAUGUGUUGCCGAAGCAAGCGAGAACAAAGUAAGGAAGAGGAAGGAAUAAGGCUGGCUAGCUAGGUCCUAAUCUGAUUAAAGGCUAAGUUGAAUCAAUACCAGAAGUAGACUUAGCAGAAGUUUAUGUGGAAGUGGUUUGUGGAAGCUCUUUCUCUUUGGUAACUGAGAUACCUUCUUUCGUCUUUUAGUGGAAUGAAACUCAUCUGGAGCUUUGAUUUUAGGAGUAUUAAGACCGCUCCGAAGGACUACUAUUUUAGUGGAAUAAGACUCGUCGAUCAUUCUUUCGAUAAUUCUUUGAUUGGGAAUAUUAGUUAAGACUCGUCCGGAGCGCUCCAUAUUAAGCUACGGAGGCCCCAUAAGACAGGGAUAUUCUUUUCUUUGGAUAGUCCUUCGGACUGAUUAAUGGUCUCAUUGAUAAGGACAUAUAGAAUGAAGCGAAGGACUUCUUUAUCCAUUGAAUUUAGCCGACCUCAAUGAGUGAAAAGAAUUAUCUCAGCUCUUUAUUUCUAAAAAGUGGGCAGUCGCUUCGCUUCGCGCCUUGACUCCGGGGGUAGGUUUAGUAUAGUAGGUUUGGAAGGAAAGCCUAUGGUCGAAACCCCAACUCGUCUUAGUCUCGAAUUGACUCUGCCGGAUUAAGUUGCUGGAUUUCUUCUUUCAGUAUCGCCUUAAAUGAUUUAUGGGAUUAAGAUAAGAGGACAUGAUGUCCCCUCGAAAAGAAGGUUGAAUAGUGGCUCGACUGAGUUGUAGAAGGAGAGAGAUCGGGAUAAAAGGUUCAAAGAUUCCUUCUUGCACUCCUUAAGAGUGACGGCUUUUUUCUUUUCCUCUCUAUCUACUUUCAUCCUAUAUAUUAGCCGACUGAUUUAUGGAACUAAAUCUUUCUGGGAGUCCCAUAAAUAAAUAAAUAGGGAUAUAAAGAAGUCCUUCGGUCCUCAAUGAUUCUGGAGGGAUAGGCUUUCUUCCUUCCCCUAUUAGCCCUUUUUAGGUUCCUUAGGCUUUCCUACUUUCUUCAGUGGAUAGUCGGACUCCUCCGCUCCGCCAUAAGAAAAGCCCACUACGCUACGUAGUCUUAUCUUCUUCUUCUUCUUAUUCUACUAAAAUAUCCUAUUAUUAUACAAGAAUCAAACUCCUCCUUCUCCUCAACGAAAGUAUGAAAGGACUCAAAUUCUGAUCGCCAUUCUCUUCUUUGCUCUUCUCGCAAUAUUCUUUGCGCCUGAGAAAGACAGGUUCAAGUGCUCAUUAACGAGAAUGAAAGAAGCUAAAAAUUCAUCUGCUAGAUUUCAGACGGAGUUCAAUCCCAGAAUAUCUAAGAAAAGAAGAAAGGAGUGCAAACGAAAACUAAUGGAUUUCAUAGUCCUUCGGACGGACUACCGCACCUCAAUUCAUGAAAUAUUCUUUGUCAAUAUUCUUUUCACCUCCGGAGCCUCUCUUUUCUUUCUGUCUUCCCCGUCCUCCGGACUAUUCAACCUAUUCCCCGUGAGACUCAGAUUACUAAUUCUCUGUUUGAGACUGGAUCGCAUAUGGUCUGACUCAUUUUAUCGCAAGAUCGAAGACAAUAUCCAUUCUGCCCGCUCCCUUCUGAUUGAUCUCUUGACUGCUGAAAAUCUUCCUUUUCCCCGCUCCGUGGGCUACGCUAUGGGAAGAGUUAGUCCGAGACUUUCCAGUUGAGAUAUUCAAACCUAUCCUUGACUCGUACAGCUUCAUGAAAAUACAAUAUCUAGUACACAAUCACCUUUAUAUUGGCGUCGGCCUAGGCCAGUGAAAAGCCUAUGGUACGAGAGAAAAUGCUUUAGGAAGGGGGGGGGCCCGUGGAUCGGAGCGAAGCAGCUCACUAUAAGAGUUGGGCGCUACAGAGGUUAUGAAAUAACUCGACUGAAAGGAGAGGGGCGAAGAGACUCGACCGUAGGGAGAGGGGCUCCGGUAUCGGUGAAUAUGCUCUCCCGUGCAGGUUAGUUCCCGAGAGUCCGCCUAUAAAUGAACUUUGCUCCGUUUUAGAGUCCUUCGGUUAAUUACGGAUGGUCCUACUUCGGUUAAUUACGGAUGGUCCUACGGAUAAAUCCUCCGGACUACUUCCCUCCAUAUGGAUGGUCCUACGGAUAAAUCCUCCGGACUACGGAUAAAUCCUGCGGACUCCGGACUCCGGACUACUUCGGUUAAUUACGGAUGGUCCUACGGAUAAAUCACCUGGACCUUUCUUUGGCCCUGCGGACUCCGGACUCCGGACUACGGAUAAAUCCUGCGGACGUAGGACUCCGGACGGGUCAAAGAAUUUGAGAAGCUGCGACGGAAAGGAAAUAGUGGAUGGACGAGUCCUCCGGACCGGACGACUAUGAAGAAUAUUUGAAAAAGAAAGAAGAUUUGAGGUGCAAAGAAUAUUGCGGAAAGGAAUCUUCGACAAAUCUCAUUACUACUACUAAUAGAAGAAAAGCCUAAAAUAAGCACAUUUGCAUCCGUCCUCAGUCGCAAAGUUCAUUUCUAGAAGGCUCAAAGGAUAUUGAGCGAAAGGCGCCAUAAGACAGGGAUAUUCUUGGACUCAUUUCAUGGGGAAUUUGGGCAAGACGCCUCUAUCUGAGAGUCGAGCUACUUCAAUCCGUACGUGAUCCUACUUCUUUCAUCAAAUGAAUAGCCCGUAACCAGAAGACCAAGAGCUAUGGAUAAUGCGAGCGAGACGUAAAGAGAUCAUGACUCGAUUCCCAUCUUCUUGCUUUAAUGGGACUAGGGCUCAUUCCACUUAUUAUCUUACCUCCUUCUCAAAUCAAAUUCUUUGAGCAAAAUCAAGCUCCCCUAAUGGAUAGUCCUUCUUCGCAAAUUCUUUGCGCCUGUCUCGCAAUAUUCUUUGCUGCACCUUGCUGACUCAUGAAACUCAUAAUCCUAUCUACAGAGCAUAUGAGAUGAUAAGAAGAUCGGAAACUUCUCUUUCUUCUUCGGCAACGGAUAAUUCAACCUCCACUAACCGCUGAAUACCUCUGUAGCAUCCGAUCCGCGAGACCUCUUCUCCUGCCUGCCGGAUAGCUGCUUCUAACCGCGUAGUGGGCAGGGAAUGCCCACUCCUCCUCUUGUUGGAACCUUUAUUCCGACUAAUAAUUGUAUCUGAGUUCCGAUUCUUCUCUCUCUUUCUUCAAGUUCGGGAUCCGGAACGAUUGAUCGUACUUAUUCAACAGGUAAUUCCCUUUUUCUCCUGAUAAAGAAAGACCCCAUCAUUCCCUUUCCGGCUAGUCCUACUCACAGAAAGACUAUCAAAAACCUCCCUCCUCCGCCGAAAGAUGAGUCUGAUACCCGCAGCUUUCUUUCAUAUUCCUUCUAUGAAGUUGGUCGUAUUCGCCCCUGAUACAGAGAAUACCUGCCUCCAUAAUUACGUAACUAGUCCUAUCACUGAAAGAUCUCAUUUGACUGAUUCCCCGCUCCGUGGUAUCCGCUUGCCCUCGUAAACUCUGGACUGAUGAUCAUUCCUAUCCUACAGAGCUGAACUUUUGGAGUACGAAAGGAAUCCCUCCCAGGUUUCUGCUCGCCAGAAGACGAGAAAGACGAGACCAUGAGGCGAGAUGGUAACUACCUUUUAAGGAGUUCAGGCAGUUGAGAUCAGAAGCUGCUCGAUUCCCUUCCCCUCUCAAGAGUCCGUCCUCACUUUCCCUGCUUUGUUUGAAGGCGAAGUUCUCACCGCCUCAAUGAACAAGGGGUUUUCUAAUAGUCUUGUAAAUCAGAAAAAUCCUAUUAGUAGUUUAGUUGGAGGCAGCUAUCUCUCCCAAGCCUUGUGUAAUUCAAGCCGAAUAUACCGCCCCGUAAUACCGCGUUCAAGCUAAUAGUUUGCGUAGAAUUCUCGAUUAAUAUUCUAUUAGGAGAACUCUCUUCUCAUCUCUUGAGAAAAGAAUAUGACGAGACCUAGCCCUAGCCAUGAACUAUUUCUAUAGACCUAGUGAGAAAAGGAAUGAAAUGACUCGACUAAAGAAAGAGGAAGGAAUGCUCUUGCCUCUGAAUUCCGAAACCUUUCUGCUCUUGAAGUAGAGUUGAGGAUGCUGAUCGAUAGGGAAUGCGCUCGAUCCUCACCCCUCUCCUCUCGCCUGGUUCUCAAUUUCUUACGUAAAUACUUCCGCUGGACACAUUUCCAUAAGAGGUUGAAGAUUCCAUCUCUCACGAUCAGCCCACUACGCGGUAAGAGACUGAGAUACCUUCUUUCUAAAUCGGAAGUUUGAAGCGGGUCUCUCGGGGAGUCGUCGUUGAAAGGGAUGCUGCCUGCGGAAGUUGAAUCCAUUUCAGUUCCUCUACCUUCUUCGGAAGUUCUUGCUGAAGAAGUAUUUAGAUCGCCGCUCUGAGUUAUUAAUGAAAUUAAUUACUAGAAUACGACCCGGAAAGGUAGCGAUCGGAUUGACUCGGUGCGGGUAAGGUCUUGAGUCUUGAAGUGAGAGGAAAAGAGGAAAAGCUUACCGCGUAGUGGGUUGGACGCGCCUCAAGCUCAAACUAAGAAGAAAGAGUCUUUUUAGUCGGGAAUGAGAUGAGAAGGAAGUUAUCUUUGUAUGAGAUCGAUCAUAGGAUCGACCGGGAACAGGAAGACUACGAGGUCUCAGUUUGUUUUCUUAGUCUCAUAGGAAUUCUAUAAAGUAGAUAUUCCGGUAAGACCGCCAUAAAAGAUAGGGGGGAUUUAAUGAGUUGAAAGACGACCAGUGGGAGUCAUCAGACUUCCAACAAUCAGACUCAGAGGUGAGGCGCUCGACCUCUUUCAUUCUCGUAUUAUCUUAUCAUCUAUUAGUAAUAAGAAUCCCCUGCGAGCAUGCCUUCCUUUCGUACCGAUCGUCAUAGACAAAAGAUGGAUUGGGUCCUUAAAUAAAUACGAAGAAAGCAUGAAGUAAGCAAUUUCUUUUCUAGAGUUCUCAUUAUGUGAUAGAAUGAAAUGAGUGAGAUUUCUUUCCGGAAGUACGAAGAAAGCAUGAAUUAAGCAAUGAUAUAGGCCAGCUUAUCGUGCUUAUCUUCCUUCUAAGAGGAGCAUGAAAGUAAUAGCAAAGCUCAAAUACUUUGAUCCUCGAACCUCUUCUAUCUUCUACCGUAAUUCGCCAAUCUCGAUGAAAGAGCAGGUAACUACCCCCCCCUCUUUCUUUACGAUUUACGGGUACUUACUCGUGCACGGAAUCAAAGAAGAGGCAGGCGAAGCAUUUUUGAAAUGAGAUCAGCAAGGUGCAAAGAAUAUUGCGAGACCACUAAAUAGAAGACUUAGCCUCAUUCUUCGGCCUUUAUUUGCGUAAAGAUAGUAUUAAGCAUCGAUUGACAAAGAAAGUACUCCAGUACCCAUUGAAAGUUCAGAAGUCCAGCUCUUUGUCAAUACGAACCAACCCUAGCUUGCUUGCCUUCAACUAGAAACUAUUCUGAUUUAGCUUCCACCUUGAAAGACGGAAAAAAAAGAUAGCUAAAGCAAUUCCAUUCUCAGUCAAGUCUAAUCGUACGAAUCCAUAUUCACCUUUUCUUUGCCGCCUUGAUUUUGCAAUAUUCUUUCUCAAUCUUCUUUGAGCCUUAUAAUUGAACCAGAUCCCCAUUAUUAAGCUACGAAGGCCCCAUAAGACAGGGAUAUUGAUUUCAUGAGUUCAAUAUUCUUUGAACCUUAUUCUUAGGCGAAGGACUGAUUUAUCAAGCUUAACUGAACCUUGUUCUGCGCUCUUUAUUUCUUUUCAAAAAGUGGGCAGUCGCUUCGCGCCGCGUAGUGGGGAACUUCCGCGUAGUGCUUUCUGGAUCGAAAGGUUAUCAGCCGAAAGAGCGAAUUCGCACACUGCUGAAAGGCAUAUUUCAUUGCACCUCAAUUCAACUCAUCUGGAGCUUUGAUUUUAGUCUUUCCUUUUGAGUUUGGGAAUCUACUUUGUCCCGCGUAGUGCUUUCUUUAUUGUCGGGAUGAGGAAGUAGGAAGUGGUAUUUCUACGAAUGAAAUGUGUCUCGCAAAUGCAAACAAGGAUUUCCCAUCAUAAGAAAGUUCACGGAAAGCCCUUGCCCUUAUGACUUCAUAGGCUUCGCUUCGCGCCUUUAUCUUUUUCUUCCUUAUUUUUUUGAGGUCUGCUCUCGCUGUGGUUGAAACCCUUGUUUCAGUAGAUUGAGUUCUUGUCUCCUCCCCGGUGGCUGUUGAAACCAGCUAUUAGAAAGAAGAUAGUUCAUUAUAUCAUAAUAUAUUCCCGUGUAGUGGGAUCCGCGCCUCGGGGAAGUGACCAUACACUUGACCAUAAAGAAGGGCAUUAGAAAGAAAGCUAGAAAAGGAGGAAACUUCAGCAUUACUAGUAAGCCCACGUAGCGGAGUAGUCGAGUCUAAAAAGGGUAGAUUCAUUCAAGGCAUAUUUCAUUGCGCCUCGUCCUUCCGCGCUCCGCUCCUUUUUAGUGGACGCUACUUGAUUAUGGGGGGAUGAGACCCAACUAUAAGACUUCGUCAUAUUGAAUUUCACCUUGCCUCCAGUUCCUUGCCUCCGGGAGUAGGUGAUGAGGUUUCGGACUUCUCCUUUUGACUCCUUUUGAGCUCUUUCUUUAUUCCUUUGAUUUUAGUAGGUUCAAUUCAAUAUUCAUGAAUUCAGGCCUAUCCAUUAGAGAAUUUGACUUGUUUCAAAAACAAAGGCUCCAGAUGAGAGGUGCCAUAAGACAGGGAUAUUCUUGAGUCACUAAAGAGUAUUUUCUUGUAACAAAGGCUCAAAGAAUUUGAGGAUGGAUAGGAAAUCCUGAAAUCAGCCUAUCGUCAGGCCUUGGUGGGAAUAGCUGCAGCUAUUUCUUAAACAAGAACAGCCACUGACGAUUCAACUUCUGCAACUGCUACUGCCACAAGAACGGAUGCCUCUUCUUACAGUCGAUUCGACUAAUCCUCUCUUCGUGCCUAAUCCGAUACCUCCCUCUCCCGGGCAGCUGCUUCUCUCAAUUACUGUGACUGUCGAAAGACCGACUACGUCGAGCUCCCUCUUGCUAUGGGGAGAGCGCCUAUUCCAGUCCAGGAGAUCAUAGAGAGAAUAACCUCUUGGUCCAGCUACUAAUGAGUGCAGUGAACUACUCAUGAAAGAGAGAAGAUGGUGCUAUUCCCGCUACGUGGGGGUCGAGCGAGCUCAUACUCACUUCAUAGGCUUCGCUUUUGCCCUCGUUCCUCAACUGGGGGGAGGGGACCUCAUUCUUAGUCUUUUCCCUUGAACCCGACGAAAGAGGCUUUCUCCUAAGAAAUAAUCAGGGAUGGUGCAUCCUCAACUAAUGCCAAUGGGUCGAGGUCGAGCAUUCGCACCUCACCGAAAGGGCUACAGCUUCUACUCCAACAGCAACGUCUGCAACCGGAACAGCCACUCCAAUCAUUGAUAAGGAUCUUUGAACCUCUCGCAACUUCAGAAAGAGGAGCAAGAAAAGCAAGAGCUUACUCAUCAUCAUCAAAUUUCAUUGAUCCUCCGUCCCCCUUUCUUCUUUCAAAGAUUCCGAUUCAGUGAAUCAAAAGUACUUCUAUUCCGUUUGGGACCACUAUUCUCGCUACCGAAAGAACCCCGUAGACCUAUGAGUUCUAGCAGGAAGGAGGCGCGUCCGUCCCGAGUCCUAAGACUUUUGUCGAGCCGUUCCACUCAUCGGGUAAAUCAGGUCUCUGGCUGAAUAAUAUAGUUGUUGUUCGCGCUUCUUCUCGUAAAGAUGAAAGUGUACUCACCGAGUCAACUCCAACAAAGCCCGACCCUUUUUCAAAGAGUGACUUCGUUAUGACGGACAAAGAUACUCAACUAGGUAUGGACGAUCCGACCCAGCCGGAGGCUGAUUAUCUGACUUUAUCGUCUUCAGAUAUAAGAAGCUAAAUAGAGGUUUAUCAAGUCAAUAUUCUUUGAACCUUCGCAAUAUUCUUUGCGCCUUCGCUCAAUUCACAUCCAUAAAUAAAUAGGGGUUAGGAGCUUUCUGAUCCUUACUCUUUCUUUGCUUUCUCCUAGGCUUUCUUCUUUCUGGGAGUCUUCCUAUAUCUUUUUCUGAUAUAAGGAAUCAAACUCCGCUCUGCUUCUUUGCUUCCAAACCUCAAAAUCAGACGAAAGCACUUAAAGAUUGUACAGUUUAGCUUUGACUCUCAGACUCUUAUUCAUAGCCAUCCAGGAAAGAAAAGCAUGACUAGGGAUGUGCUUCUUACCCCAAAGAAGCUUGAACCAAGGGACAGUAUUACCAGGAAGAUGAAAGAGCUUCACUGUCUUAGCAACUGAAAACUGACCUCUGAGGCCAGAUAGUUCUAUCUUCAGUAACCUUGUCCAAAGUCACAUUACUAACAAUGUCUCUCCAAGCAUUAGACAGCAUCAAUGGCUACAAGAAGCCGAAAUGAUCAUCCUUCCAUACAGCAUUCAGCCUGCAUUUCUUGUUAACAUCAGCAUCUCUGCCGAAUACUGAGACAGAGGGUCAAAGAAUUUGAGAACUCGGAAGACUAAAGCUCAAGCGCGCACUAAGAAGAAAAAGGGUGAGGGCCGACGUUCUAAUGGAUAGGACUGAGGCGCAUCAAAAAAAGGGUUGAAGAUGACCUUGAUUUUUUGGACCCUUAUUUAUUGUUUAUUGAGGCGGUUCAAAUAUCGAGACCAGAGGAAGCAAAGAAGCUGCGAGAGGUUUCGGAAUCUCCGGCUCUUGUCCCAGUGACGUCUGAGGCAGUUGAGUAUUUAGCCGAUAUAGUUCUUUCUUCUCAAAUUCGCCUCUCCUUUCAGUCGAGCCUCAAUGCAAUAUUCUUUGCGCCUUUGAAUCUGCGAUAACAUUGAGAUUUCCCAUCACCGACUGGAAGUCGCUAUUUUCUUUCGUCUUGCUCUUCGAUAAUUCUUUGAGCCUCCUUCUACCUCUUUUACACGGAGCGGGUUGGGAAGGCCUCAAGCAUACCAUCGAAUGCCACCAGUCAACCGAAGGCUGCAAUAGGUCCGAUCGCGCCGGUGCCGAUUCAAUUAUUCACCUGGAGACAAGGCUAAGAACAUCCCGCCGAAUGUGAACAAUUCGAAGAAUGUUUAUGUGAAUGCCCUCAGGACGCAUCCUAUGGUAUGCUUUCUGGCCGCUUUACCUCGUAUUGCUAGCGGUCGUGGGUGGCCCUGCGUCGCUCGUCACGUCCGCUUGUAGUGGUCACACAGGCAGUGCCUUUUUCUAUCCUAAAAGAAGGGUAAACCGAGAAACCCGUAGGCUUUCUGUCUUUUCUUUUUGCCUAUUUUAAGUCAUCGACCGCCUUGAUUUAUGUUUUCUCGCUCGCUUUCUCUGCCCUUCGCUUCCUGAUACCGGAAGGGGUAAAGCGGAAGUUCACUCCUAAGACUUGUAAUCAUCUUGCGUGACGGAGAGCCUUCGUCCUUGUCUUGAAUAUCCAUCCUGGACCGGAUAUCCCCGUGCGUCUCAGCAUUAAGCCUAUGCCUUAAAAGAUCCGGCGGACCCCAUCCUAGGGCAAGGUGAAGCCAGUAUGCUUUUUCCAGCUUUUUGCCCCUUUCGUACUGAGACUGAGGCUUCCGUGAUCCUUUCCUCUCUCCGCACCGAGAUAUAUAUCCAAUCGGGCAAUUCUUCCUUGAGCGAAGGAGUCAGACCUCCUUCGGCCUUAGCCUUUUUUCGGCAUUUUGGCCGAAGUGCAAAGUUAGCGAGCGAGCUUCCCCCACUACGCGGGCAGUCGGAUGUGAACUGCUUGUUCAACGAGAAUACCAGAGUUAGAAGAAUUAACCUUCCCACGCAGCGGUGACGAUGCUGUAGGUUCUUAGUGUACUUAGAUUGCAUGGAUUUUUCUUCUUUCUAUAUUUUAGAUAUACUGCUUGGCUAGCUCAGAACGCUAACGCUAAUUUGGAGAAGAUUUUGCAGGUUUGUGAAACCUUUAAGUAAAAGUAAUUAUCCGACUUCAAGCCUCCGGCAACUCUUAGCUAACCCGAAGAGAAAAGGUAAUUCCCGCUCUCGCAAUAUUCUUUGCGCCUUUAUUUAUCCUUUCUUCUUUUCUUAGAUAAAUGCGCUUCGCUUCGCAAUAUUCUUUGCGCCUUUAUUUAUCCUUUCUUUAUCCGUCCGGAGUGCCAAAGAAAGGUCCAGGGUCCGGAGUCCGCAGGAUUCUUAUCCGGAGGACUAUCCAUAUGGAAGUAGUCCGGAGGAUUUAUCCGUAGGACCAUCCGUAAUUAACCGAAGCAGUCCGGAGUCCGGAGUCCGCAGUGCCAAAGAAAGGUCCAGGGUCCGGAGGAUUUAUCCGUAGGACUAUCCAUUAGAAGCAGGAUUUAUCCGGAGUCCGGAGGAUUUAUCCGUAGGACCAUCCGUAAUUAACCGAAGUAGUCCGGAGGAUUUAUCCGUAGGACCAUCCAUAUGGAGGGAAGGAGGACUAUCCAUAUUCAGGAGCGGAAUCAAGAAUAGACCCGUCAGUAUCCGGACCAUAAACUCAAACUAGAACUGAUCCAUGUGAAUUUCUGGGAUAGGCUUGAUUCUUUCAUUGCGUUUUCCCGGCUUUUUUGCUUCUAAAUAGGACUAAAUCAAAGAUUGAUAUUUAACGAAAAUUGUCUAAAAAUGACGGAUUUUUCAUGAUUUCUUGCUACUUUAUAGGCCCAAAACCUAGCAAAAUCUGGGAUUUCCCUCCGUCUUCAAUCUAGUAUUGAACUCCGUAAAAACAAGGUGAUUCAAUCAGAAUUAUUCUUUCAUUAUCGUUAAUGAGUGAAUUAUUCUUUCAUUCUCGUUAAUGAGCUUCUUUCUUUGCGCCUAACGUCUGCUUUAAAGGGAUCAUGACUUUCGCAUAUUGAAUUGCGCCUCCUCCUUCAGCAUAAUCUAUAAGAAGAUUUGCACCUAUCAUGACUCUUUCGCAAUAUUCUUUGCUCCUAACUACGGGGUCCAGACUCCCUGAUGGAUAGUCCUUCGGACCUGUCUUCUCGCCUUACUAUUUUUCUCAUUCUUCCCGUCCUCUCCUCCACUCUCAGUCGAGCCCAUGGAGAUGCGUAGAAGGAUGAAUUCAAUAUGAGAGAAGAAGAUUUUCGGUUCAUUUUCUGUCUGAACUUUUUUGAUUGCUUUCUUCUUUUUCUCGAGACUAAUUGUACGGAUUCUCAUCUAGAUUUCGUUAGUCUUUAGUUUCCCUAGUUUCUAGUCGGACUAAAAUGAAAAUAGUCCGAGAUCAUUCUUUGAGCCUCUUUCAUUGAUCUAUUUUGAUGCUUCCUUGCCAGCAUCUUUCUUUCUCCCAUGCUUUCCGUUGGUCAACAACCAACCACUGCUCUCUAUAGUUCUUCACUACUCGUACAGGAAGGAUUUCUGUCUGGAGGGAAUUUUCUUGAGAAAAAGAAAGAAUGCCUCAACUGGAUAAAUUGACUUAUUUCACACAAUUCUUCUGGUCAUGCCUUUUCUUCUUGACUUUCUAUAUUCCCAUAUGCAAUGAUGGAGAUGGAGUACUUGGGAUCAGUAGAAUUCUCAAACUACGGAACCAACUGCUUUCACACCGGGGGAAGAACAUACGGAGCAAGGACCCCAACAGUUUGGAAGAUCUUUUGAGAAAAGGUUUUAGCACCGGUGUAUCCUAUAUGUACUCUAGUUUCAAAGAAGUAUCCCAAUGGUGUAAGGCCGUCGACUUAUUGGGAAAAAGGAGGAAAAUCACUUUUCUCUCUUGUUUCGGAGAAAUAAGUGGCUCACGAGGUCUCGAAAGAAAUAUAUUCUAUUUGAUCUCGAAGUCCUCAUAUAGCACUUCUUCCAAUCCUGGAUGGGGGAUCGCUUGUAGGAAUGAAAUAAUGCUAAUCCAUGUUCUACACGGCCAAGGAAGCAUCGUUUUUUAAUCAAGGUCGUUCGGACAAAAUAGAAGUUGCGCUUUCUUGAUUCUUAGUAGAAAGCAUUACAAGAGAGAUCAAUAAGAGAAAAAGCGAAGGAGCAGAGCCAAGUUCGAACUAAUAGGAGCGGAGCCAAGUUCGGAACUAAUGGACGUAGUAGGCUCCCCAUAAAUCAGAGGUUAGGAGCCCCUGUUCAUUGACUUUAGAUAUUAUGUCUGAAAAUAUCCUCUUAUUCACUUUGAAUUUCAGCCUAUCCUUUUUAUUCAAUUCAAACCGCGGAGCUCCUAUUCUUUUCAAAGUAAUAGCCGCACUUUGCACCUCCCGCUCUUCAUUUGCAAAGAUGUCCUUAUCAAUGAGACGACUGAGGCUCAAAGAAGAUUUCGAAAAACAAGGCUCCAACUAACCGUCCGGAGGACUAUCCGUAUGAACCUAGCCUUCGGACCAGUCCGGAGGAUUUAUCCGUAGGACUCUAAAACGGAGGACUAUCCAUUAGAACCAUUAGAAUAGAUCAAAAGAUCGUCUUGACCCAGCCUCCGGCUUCUUAUUCCGCUAUCAAAGUAUUCCACUACUCAAAGUAUUCCACUAAGGAAAUGCGCUUCUCACGCAUAUUUCAUUGCGCCUCUUGAGCUCUCUUCUCUCUGUCUUCCUCUAUUUUCUUCUUAUUCUGAUUCUUCCGAUAAUAGAAAACCUUGAACUCUCUUUAAAGAGGCAGAAAGGUAACUGAAAGACUCAUAAGUGCAGCUGUCAAUAUUCUUUGAACCUUGUUCAUUCAGGCUAGGCUUUCCUCUGAAUUCAAACCUUAUAUUCCCUUUCUCGUUGUUCAUAACUAUUCUAUGUGAAUGAUCCCUUGUUCAUUGAGGCGGUCUUCUAUGUUUACAGGUUUGAAUAGAAAGAGUCAUCCCUUCCCACGUGUAAAGUUUCAUAAAUUAAUGCUGCCUCAACCAUAGGCUUUUCUCAAUUCUAUGUGGCCGCCGGGCGGCGCAGAACGCACUAAUCCGCGACCAACAAGUUUUCCGAAACCAAACUGAAGAGAAUUGUUACUUUCCAAAAAUGCUUGCUGAAAAUCAUAGGCUUUCUCCUUUCAGUUUCUCGUAUUCAGUCUCAGGAUAGGCUUUCUUCAGUAUUUAUUAGGUUCUUGGGAGAAUCCUCGUCCAAGACCCCACGGAGCGGGAGAAUCCUUCGUCUGAAAAAGAAGAGAGCCUACUAAAAUAAAACAGAAGACGUAGAAGUCUGCAAUUGAGAUUCAUUCAAGAAGACGGAGCGGAAUAAAGAGAAGGUAAAGUCAGAAAAAGUGAAAGGAAUAGGAAAGCAGUUAAAGGAAGUUCAAGGCUCCCCGGUUUUCAAAUAUGAUGAACUCAAUUCAUUCAGCCUUAACUCGCAUAUUUCAUUGCGCCUCAUCUAGAGCUUUUGUUUUUGUAGUCGCAAUAAGACAGGUCCGAAGGACAGACGGGUUAAUAUGGAUAGUCAUCUGGUCCCUUUUAUUUUGUUCUUUGCUCCUAACGUUCCCUCAAAUUCUUUGAGCCGUCCGGAGGACCAUCAAAGAAAGGUCCAGGUGAUUUAUCCGUAGGACUAUCCAUUAGAAGUAGGACCAUCCGUAAUUAACCGAAGUAGGACUAUCCAUUUUCAGUCGGACUAUCCAUAUGGAAGGAGGACUUUCCGUAAUUAACCGAACAAAGCUCCUAACUACUAAUGGAAAGGACUGAGGACGUCCGAAGGACUCUAAAGCGGACGGGGGGGAUUUCCGCUUAAAAAGUCUUAUUCCAAUAAUAUCCGCGGGGGUAGAUUCAAUCUUCUUUUCACCUCCGUCUCAUUCCCUAAUGGAUAGUCCUUCGGACCUGUCUUAUGGCGCAGUUCUUCCCUCGCAAUAUUGGGCCUCAGUAGCUUAAUAUUCAGGGGUGGAAAUCUUGUUGAAGACGGAGGUUCAUAUGGAUAGUCCUUCGGACCAGUCUUAUGGCGCAUCUGGACCCCUUAUAAUUGGGCCAUAGAUCUUUGCACCUUGUUUUUCUUCUUUGCGCCUAACGGAGGGGAGGGGAUAGACUUUUGACUUUUUCUUCCUGAUCAUCGACCGCCUUUUUUUUGAUUCUUUUCACCUUGUUCAUUGAUUGCGCUUGCACGAGUAUUCUCAAUAUUCUUUGAACCUCUCCUCUGUCUAUUAGAAUAGCGAAUAGUCCCCAGAUCCAAGGCGAAGGACUAGUCUGAAAUCAACCAUAUUAACCUGUGGAAUCUUUGAUACAUCCACAUUGUUCAAAGAAAGCCUAUCCUCCGUCCUUUUUCAAUAUUCUUCGAUCAUUCUUUUUCAAUAUUCUUUCUCAACAAUAUCCCCCACGGUGCGGUAGUCCGUCCGAAGGACUAUUCAAUCCAUUAGUUUUCGCUUGCACUCCUUUCUUCUUUUCCGCAAUAUUCUUUGCUCCGAUCAUUCAUAGAUUAUGCUGAAGGAGGUCCUCCGGACUAUCCAUAUUAGUGACCGCGGAAGAAAAACAAAGGUCUAUAUGAACUAGUUAGGCGAAGGACAGACAGGUUAAUAAAUAUGGAUAGUCCUUCGGACCUGUGGAAUGUAAAAGAAAGCCUAUCCGUCUCAUUGAUAUUGAUAAGGAACCCUCCUCUUGAGUCUGAAAUCUACCCCUAUUUAUUUAUGGAUUUCAUUGAAGGCGAAGGCGCAAUGAAAUAUGCGUUGACGAGCGCAAAGAACUAAAAAGAAAGGUCCAGAUGACUAUCCAUUAGGGAAAUUAAGGAGCAAAGAUCAUGGCCCACUCCUCCUUCAGCAUAAUCUACGAAGCGCAUUUAUCUAAGAAAAGAAGAAAGGCUCUUUGAAUAUUGAGAAUAUUGCUGGAAGAUUUGCACUGGGGGAUAUUGAUUUGAGAGAAAGAUUAGACAUUGAGCCUCCUUCUACGUCUUUUAGAUAAAAAAGAGAUUUUUCUUCCAUAAGGAUGAAAACGAGUCCUCCCCUUGUUCAUUGAGGUCCGCUCCCUCCUUUUGAGCUUUCUUCUUUAUUAUCCCGCUCCGUCUUCAGCUCCGUGGGCUUCCUUUCAUAUUCAACCGCUACGUGGGAGAUAGAAGAAAAUCAAUGAAGAAGUCAAUGCCCACUACGCGGGGAAGGAGACAAGACUACGUAGCUACUUUCAGUGGAUAGGUCGUCCGGAGGACUUGUUUUUAUCCAUCUGAGGAACUCAAACUUAUGGCCUCCGUAGUCCGCUCCCUCCUUUAUUUUCAAGGUUUCAUAUGAAAGGUUUGAAGUUAGAAGUGAAAGGAAGAAAAAGUCAAUGGAAGUCCUCCGUCUCUCUUCUUUAUGGUCCGGAGCCUUCGAUCAUUCUUUGAGCCUCCAGACCUACUAGAGAAAGCCCCACUCCGCGGAAGAAUCCAGAAAGCUAAGCUUGAUAAAGUCCUCCGCCUAAUUCAAUGGAUCUAAUGGACGCAAUAUUCUUUGCACCUGGACCCAGCCUCCAGCUUCUUAUUCGACGUUAGGAGUAUUAAGACCGAAGGACAGACGGGUCCUCCGGACCUGUCUGUCCUUCUAUAUAUUCUUUGCACCGCUCCGUGGGUCCUUUCCAUUAGUAGUUAGGAGUCUUAAGACCUCAGUCCUAUCCAUAUUAACCCGCGCUAAGUUCCAUUAAGAGAAAAUUCUUUGCUCUCUGCGACUCAAAGUAAUAGUAUUCAACAAUAUCCCUGUCUUAUGGCGCCUCGCAUAAAUACGGCUUCGAUCAUUCUUUGAGCCUCCGUCGCAAGUCAAAUUCUCUAAUGGAUAGGCCUUCUCCUUCGCCUAUAAAUUCCCAUAUUAAGCUACGAAAUAAAGAAAGCACUACGCGGGAAGAACUGAUCAAUGAAAUUUGAUUGAUUGAAUUUCAUCAUAUCAUAUUUGAAAAAGAAAGAAUAUUGAGGUGCAAAGAAUAUAUAGAAGGCGCAAAGAUCUAAAAAGAAAGGUCCAGAUGACUAUCCAUAUUAACCCAGAGAAAGUUCAGUCAGUUUCAGUGGAAUAAAGGGAAAGCCUAUCCAACAACAUUUCAGUGGAAUAGGAGAAAGGAAGUCCUCCGCUCCGUUGGAGUUGAAUUGGUCCUACGGGAAGAAAAUCAAUGAAGAAGUCAAUGCCCACUACGCGGGGUUAAAGUGAAAGAGGAAAGCCACUAAAAACCUCAAAAUAAUACGGAAAGCCUAGCCUUCUACGGCCUCCAAACAAAAAAAGCUUUACUAGACUCAAAUUCUUUGAGCCUCCGGAGCCUCAAAAAUAUAGCUUAAAGGAAGAGGUGCAAAGAAUAUUGCGUGAUUGAUGCCUCCGUCUCUCUGAUUUAUGGUUAUGGUUCUCCUGAACCUACUCCCUACGGCAAGGCAGAAGACUGCCAGAAAGAAGAAAGCCUAGGAGAAGACAACUCCCAGAAAGUUUGAAAGUGGAAUCAAAUAACUAAGAACGAAGAUUUGUUGGGAAGGAAAGCCGUCAUAAGUACUUUCGUCUUAUUUUUAGUCCUCUUUCAUUGAUCUAUUUUGAUGCCAAGAAGAAACUUCAGGAUUACUAUCAAUGAACAAGGGAAGCACUACGCGGAAGUUUCAGUUCCUCAGUCGGAAUAUGGACCUCGCAUAUUGAAUUGCGCCUUCUCUCCUUUCAGUCGAGCCCUCAGUCCUAUCCAUUAGACUGCACCUCGCAAUAUUCUUUGCGCCUGCGCCUGGACCUUUCUUUGACUAGAAACUGAAAGUAGGCUUUCUUCUAAUAGUAGAAUAAGAGGAUAUUUUCAGAGAAGAGAUAAUCAAGAUAAAUAGCUAAGGAUAUUCUUUCUUCCCGUGUAGUGGGCUUACGGAGUGGGUCGCAAAGUGAAUUUCUAGGCGAAGGCUGAAUGAAUUGAGUUGCGGCUAUUACUUUAUUUGGAGCGAAGGUGCAAAGAAUAUUGCGUGGAUGGAUAGGUGCAAAGAAUAUUGCGAGGCUCAAAGAAUCCCACGGAGCGGGAUAGUCCUCCGGACUGUUAAGGCUCAAUGCAAUAUGAGUGAUUCCUAUUCCCGCCUUCUACGCCAUAAAUCAGUCGGAAUAUAGAGGGCUCUAUCCAAGGAAAGCCUAGGGCUCGGUCAAAGCAACGAGAUCUUUUUCUAGUUAGACUUCUAUCAAUGCAAUGAAAGAACCAUCCCUUCCUAUUUUUGAGUCCUGUCAGAUAGAAAGAAAAUGAGACCCCAAAGAGCCCUUCUUUACCACUUUAGCGGGUGGGGGUGAAGGGGGGGUUUACAUACAACCGAGGCAAAGUGGUUUAUGA
rnacentral:lncRNA from 1 species